rnacentral:rRNA from 1 species
AGUGAACGCUGGCGGUAGGCCUAACACAUGCAAGUCGAACGGCAGCACAGUAAGAGCUUGCUCUUACGGGUGGCGAGUGGCGGACGGGUGAGGAAUACAUCGGAAUCUACUUUUUCGUGGGGGAUAACGUAGGGAAACUUACGCUAAUACCGCAUACGACCUACGGGUGAAAGCAGGGGAUCUUCGGACCUUGCGCGAUUGAAUGAGCCGAUGUCGGAUUAGCUAGUUGGCGGGGUAAAGGCCCACCAAGGCGACGAUCCGUAGCUGGUCUGAGAGGAUGAUCAGCCACACUGGAACUGAGACACGGUCCAGACUCCUACGGGAGGCAGCAGUGGGGAAUAUUGGACAAUGGGCGCAAGCCUGAUCCAGACAUACCGCGUGGGUGAAGAAGGCCUUCGGGUUGUAAAGCCCUUUUGUUGGGAAAGAAAAGCAGCAGGUUAAUACCGCACUGUUCUGACGGUACCCAAAGAAUAAGCACCGGCUAACUUCGUG